UUUACAAAAUUAUUCGAGCAUUAUUUAAAAUCCGAAAAUUAAAUUUAUUGUCACGGAAUUAAAUAGCAGGCUAUCCAUUAUUUAACCGGUCAAACAUUAGGAGAGCCCACCAUUUAAUUGACACAGCAGGCCCAACUCAUUUUUAAAUUAUACAACACUGGCCCAAAUACAUAAUUAAAACAAGUGGCCCAAACUCUCCCUAUCACCCAGCUCCAUCGUCCCUCUCCCUUACUCUUCUCAAAACAAAAAUCCCUAAAUUAGGAACCCUAAUUCCUUUCUCACUCUCUUCGCCUCAUCUUCUCCGGCGAAAUCGCCGUCCUGUCGGAACCCGCCGGCGACUCGUAUAAGCGGAGGCUCCGCCGCCGUCUGCUAUAGUCCCUCACUCCUUCACUCAUCUAUUCGCGACGAUUCAGCGCCGUCGGACGCCGUUCAGUCCGUUUCACAGACCAGCGCCGCCGCCGCCGCUGACCUUCGGUGUCGCCGCUGCACCAGGGAGUUUCUGCGGCCGCCUUCGCGGCCUCGCCGUCGCCGGUGGCUCCCAGGCAGCUCCUCAGCCAUAAAGCUAAGUUUUCCGUUCUUUUAAAAGUUUCAACCUUUAAUUCAUUCCUUAAGGCAGUAGCUAUGUGGAAACUAAUACUUGAUCAUUUGAGAGUUAUCUGAACCUGUGAGAUUUUAGUAUGCUUGAGGUUGUGUUCUGCUGCUAUGGUUGUAAACAAAAAGAAAACAUGCUUCUGUUACUGUCAUUUAUGGGUGAAAGUUCUGUUGUGAGCAAGCUCCCUAAGGCCUCUAUGUUGGGUUUUAACUAUAUGAUGACGUGAGAUGAUACUUGGGAAGGUAGAUGAGGUGUGGGGUGUAUUACCUCUUGAAGUGGCUGCUGAUCUCUUCCUCUGAUCCUAAAACUUGCAGCUUGCUCACUUGUGUUUCUGAUUCUUUUUGUUAAGUUAGGGAAAGAGUGAGUUUGGGUUGAGCAUAAACAAAAUCUUGUGGAAAGGAAGGAAGAAGGUAUGUUACCUAAGGAGAGUAGAAACUGCCUGCAGGGACUCUGCAGAGACUCUUCUCCCAAACACUCACUCUCAAACUUGCUAUUUGGCUGAAGAUUUCGAACAAGUAAGAGGGGUUUUGGAGGUGGUGUGGGGGUUCUUAUAGGCGCAUUGUAGUGUACUUGGAUGAGGAAUAAUGGUGCUGCUACUUGCUUUGUUUUCUUUCUACAGAAAAUCCCAUGUACAGCAAGGACGCAGGUGCUGCCUCCAUGAGGUGGAGAUUUUGCAGGCCUUGACUUGCCUCUUUGGCUAGUCUUCGGUCCUUCAGCCAAAGGGGCUGUCCCCUUUCCCUUAUUUAGGUGCUCCCAUUAAUUUCCUUUGUUCUUUAGGACUAAUGUUUGUUUUUACUUUGCAGGGGAACAAUAAUUUGGCUGUCAUACUGCUAUCCGCGACAUGGGCUCACUGCCCCGGGCUCGACGGGCUGAUCUGGUAGGGCCGCGGUGAGGACGUGGUUUGAGCUCGGGAGAAAGAGGCCUAAAGUAUAGCUAAUAGAAGCUUUUAGUUUCUUAGCCUCCUUGGCUCAUUCUUGAACAUUUUUUUGUAACAUUAAAGAUCUUCCAUUUAAAUUAAUUGUAUUAUUCGAGAAGUAUGCGAACACUUUCGUUUGGGGAGAACAACUUCAUAUCCUUGUACAACGUUCAUUUUAUUUCAUAGCAUACAUUUGAUUGUUUUA